CACCAGCCCCUCGAGUGGUGGGGAUGAUUAUUUGGCCUAAAGCGUCCGUAGCCGGCCGGGUAAGUUUCCCGUUAAAUCCAGCGUCUCAAGCGUUGGACUGCGGGAAAUACUGCCUGGCUAGAGAGUGGGAGAGGUGUACGGUAUUCUGGGGGUAGGGGCGAAAUCCUUUGAUCCCCGGAGGACCACCAGUGGCGAAGGCUGUACACUAGAACACGUCUGACGGUCAGGGACGAAAGCUGGGGUAGCGAACCGGAUUAGAUACCCGGGUAGUCCCAGCUGUAAACGAUGCAUGCUAGGUGUUGGGUUGGCCACGAGCCACCCCAGUGCCGCAGGGAAGCCGUUAAGCAUGCCGCCUGGGAAGUACGAUCGCAAGAUUGAAACUUAAAGGAAUUGGCGGGGGAGCACCACCAGGCGUGAAGCCUGCGGUUU
rnacentral:rRNA from 1 species